ACAAGUAUUGAAGGUGAUGCCUGCCCGGUGACUCACGUUCAACGGCCGCGGUAUCCUAACCGUGCAAAGGUAGCGCAAUCAAUUGUCCCAUAAAUCGAGACUAGUAUGAAUGGCUAAACGAGGUCUUAACUGUCUCUUACAGGCAAUCGGUGAAAUUGAUCUCCCUGUACAAAAGCAGGGAUAAACCCAUAAGACGAGAAGACCCUGUGGAACUUUAAAAUCAGCAACCACCCUAAAAUACAUAUGCACCUACCAGGUUUACUAACACAUUAGGAUCAUGGUCUGCAUUUUUCGGUUGGGGCGACCUUGGAGCAAAACAAAACCUCCAAAAACUAGACCACACCUCUAGACUGAGAGCAACCCCUCAACGUGCUAAUAGCACCCAGACCCAAUACAAUUGAUCAAUGGACCAAGCUACCCCAGGGAUAACAGCGCAAUCUCCUCCGAGAGUCCGUAUCGACGAGGAGGUUUACGACCUCGAUGUUGGAUC
rnacentral:rRNA from 1 species